AAACUCAAAUGAAUUGACGGGGCCCGCACAAGCGGUGGAGCAUGUGGUUUAAUUCGAAGCAACGCGAAGAACCUUACCAGGUCUUGACAUCCCCUGACAACCCGAGAGAUCGGGCGUUCCCCCUUCGGGGGACAGGGUGACAGGUGGUGCAUGGUUGUCGUCAGCUCGUGUCGUGAGAUGUUGGGUUAAGUCCCGCAACGAGCGCAACCCUUAUCCCCAGUUGCCAUCAGGUAAAGCUGGAAACUCUGGGGAGACUGCCGGUGAUAAACCGGAGGAAGGCGGGGAUGACGUCAAGUCCUCAUGGCCCUUACAUCCCGGGCUACACACGUGCUACAAUGGCAGGUACAGAGGGCUGCGAAGCCGCGAGGUGGAGCGAAUCCCAGAAAACCUGUCUCAGUCCGGAUUGAAGUCUGCAACUCGACUUCAUGAAGGCGGAAUCGCUAGUAACCGCGAAUCAGCAGGUCGCGGUGAAUACGUUCCCGGGCCUU
rnacentral:rRNA from 1 species